GGUAAGGGGGGGGAAUUGUCCAAGGUUUCCGUAGGUGAACCUGCGGAGAAAACAUUA
rnacentral:rRNA from 1 species